rnacentral:tRNA from 1 species
UUAGGAUUAUAGUUUAAAAAAAAAACACUUGAUUUGCAUUCAAAAAAUAUUGAAAUUCAAUUUAUCUUAUAA